CCUACGGGUGGCUGCAGUGAGGAAUAUUGGUCAAUGGUCGCGAGCCUGAACCAGCCAAGUCGCGUGAAGGAUGAAUGCACUGCGGGUUGUAAACUUCUUUUAUAAAGGAAUAAAGACAGGCACGUGUGCCUGUAUGUGUGUACCUGAUGAAUAAGCAUCGGCUAACUCCGUGCCAGCAGCCGCGGUAAUACGGAGGAUACGAGCGUUAUCCGGAUUUAUUGGGUUUAAAGGGAGCGUAGAUGGGUUGUUAAGUCAGUUGUGAAAGUUUGCGGCUCAACCGUAAAACUGCAAUUGAUACUGGCAGUCUUGAGUACAGUUGAGGUAGGCGGAAUGCGUGGUGUAGCGGUGAAAUGCUUAGAUAUCACGAAGAACUCCGAUUGCGAAGGCAGCUUACUAAACUGCCACUGACAUUGAUGCUCGAAAGUGUGGGUAUCAAACAGGAUUAGAUACCCUAGUAGUC
rnacentral:rRNA from 1 species